rnacentral:rRNA from 1 species
UACAGAGGGGGCAAGCGUUGUUCGGAGUUACUGGGCGUAAAGGGCGCGUAGGCGGCCUGUUAAGUCGAACGUGAAAUCCCCGGGCUCAACCCGGGAACUGCGUCCGAUACUGGCAGGCUUGAAUUCGGGAGAGGGAUGUGGAACUCCAGGUGUAGCGGUGAAAUGCGUAGAUAUCUGGAGGAACACCGGUGGCGAAGGCGGCAUCCUGGACCGAUAUUGACGCUGAUGCGCGAAAGCCAGGGGAGCAAGCGGG